UACGUAGGGUGCGAGCGUUGUCCGGAAUUAUUGGGCGUAAAGGGCUCGUAGGCGGUCUGUUGCGUCAGGAGUGAAAACUCGGGGCUUAACCCCGAGCCUGCUUCUGAUACGGGCAGACUAGAGGUAUGCAGGGGAGAACGGAAUUCCUGGUGUAGCGGUGAAAUGCGCAGAUAUCAGGAGGAACACCGGUGGCGAAGGCGGUUCUCUGGGCAGUAACUGACGCUGAGGAGCGAAAGCGUGGGGAGCGAACAGG
rnacentral:rRNA from 1 species